AGUAACGCGUGAGAAACCUGCCUUUCAGUGGGGGACAACAGUUGGAAACGACUGCUAAUACCGCAUAAUGUCAUUUAGGGGCAUCCCUGGAUGACCAAAGCUUUAUGUGGCUGAAAGAUGGUCUCGCGUCUGAUUAGCUAGAUGGCGGGUAACGGCCACCGAUGGCGACGAUCCAGUAGCCGGUCUGAGAGGAUGAACGGCCACAUUGGGACUGAGAUACGGCCCAGACUCCUACGGGAGGCAGCAGUGGGGAAUAUUGGGCAAUGGGCGAAAGCCUGACCCAGCAACGCCGCGUGAAGGAAGUAAGGCCUUCGGGUUGUAAACUUCUUUUAGCAGGGACGAAGUAACGUGACGGUACCUGCAGAAAAAGCAACGGCUAACUACGUG
rnacentral:rRNA from 1 species